rnacentral:tRNA from 1 species
UGGCUCAGUUGGUAGAGCAUGGUGUUUGCAACGCCAGCAUGGUGUGUGCAGCGUUGUGGGUUCGAUUCCCAC